rnacentral:rRNA from 1 species
UGCCUAACACAUGCAAGUCGAACGGAGAUCAUACAGACGGCGGCUUCGGCCAAAGGAAGUAUGAUCUUAGUGGCGGACGGGCGAGUAACGCGUGAGUAACCUGCCUUUCAGAGGGGGACAACAGUUGGAAACGACUGCUAAUACCGCAUAACGUCACUUGAGGGCAUCCCCGGGUGACCAAAGAUUUAUCGCUGAAAGAUGGACUCGCGUCCGAUUAGCUAGAUGGUGGGGUAACGGCCUACCAUGGCGACGAUCGGUAGCCGAACUGAGAGGUUGAUCGGCCGCAUUGGGACUGAGACACGGCUCAGACUCCUACGGGAGGCAGCAGUGGGGGAUAUUGCACAAUGGAGGAAACUCUGAUGCAGCAACGCCGCGUGAGGGAAGACGGUCUUCGGAUUGUAAACCUAAGUUAUCAGGGACGAUUAUGACGGUACCUGAAGAGAAAGCUCCGGCUAACUACGUGCCAGCAGCCGCGGUAAUACGUAGGGAGCGAGCGUUGUCCGGAUUUACUGGGUGUAAAGGGUGCGUAGGCGGGCUGGCAAGUCAGGCGUGAAAUCCCGGGGCUUAACUCCGGGGCUGCGCUUGAAACUGUCGGUCUUGAGUGAGGUAGAGGCAAGCGGAAUUCCUAGUGUAGCGGUGAAAUGCGUAGAUAUUAGGAGGAACACCAGUGGCGAAGGCGGCUUGCUGGGCUUUUACUGACGCUGAGGCACGAAAGCGUGGGGAGCAAACAGGAUUAGAUACCCUGGUAGUCCACGCUGUAAACGAUGAUUGCUAGGUGUGGGGGGUCGACUCCCUCCGUGCCGGAGUAAACGCAAUAAGCAUUCCACCUGGGGAGUACGUUCGCAAGAAUGAAACUCAAAGGAGUUGACGGGGACCCGCACAAGCGGUGGAGCAUGUGGUUUAAUUCGAAGCAACGCGAAGAACCUUACCAAAUCUUGACAUCCCGCUGACGUACCCUUAAUCGGGUAUUCUCUUCGGAGCAGUGGAGACAGGUGGUGCAUGGUUGUCGUCAGCUCGUGUCGUGAGAUGUUGGGUUAAGUCCCGCAACGAGCGCAACCCCUGUCCUUAGUAGCCAGCACGUAAUGGUGGGCACUCUAGGGAGACUGCCGGGGAUAACCCGGAGGAAGGUGGGGAUGACGUCAAAUCAUCAUGCCCCUUAUGAUUUGGGCUACACACGUGCUACAAUGGCGUGGAACAAAGGGAAGCGAGUCUGUGAGGAGGAGCAAACCCCAAAAAACACGUCUCAGUUCGGAUUGUAGUCUGCAACUCGACUACAUAAAGCUGGAAUCGCUAGUAAUCGCGAAUCAGAAUGUCGCGGUGAAUACGUUCCCGGGUCUUGUACACACCGCCCGUCA